CAUGUAUUUUCGACACAUACAGGUCGAAAAUUCCCUUAUUUUUCGACGUGUAUGUGUCGAAAAUACCCUUAAGUUUCGACACCAAAGUGUCGAAUUAUGAUACAAUUUUCGACACUUUAGUGUCGAAAAUAUGGGUAAUUUUCGACACUAUAGUGUCGAAAAUUGUAUCAUAAUUCGACACUUUGGUGUCGAAAGUGACCUAUAUUUUCGACACUUAAGUGUCGAAAAUAUGGGACCACUCUUUAUCCAUCAUACCUUCUUGCUCCUAUGUCUCUGAUACGUUUCUUCCUCGAAACCCGACAUGGAAUUCGAUUCUGUACAAGGAAGAUGUGAAGAAAUCUAACAUGUGAACAAAGUUUGCUGAAUCAAAUGUAACCAACCAUCCUCUGUUUGUGUUCUUGAAUAAACAUCAUUGUACUGAUGUCAAACUCAGACAAUGUCAAGGCUGCUAAUAUAUGGUCACAUUGCUCUGUUUCAGUUUUGAG